rnacentral:misc_RNA from 1 species
GAUGAAGAACGCAGCGAACUGCGAUAAGUAAUGUGAAUUGCAGGAUUCAGUGAAUCAUCGAGUCUUUGAACGCACAUUGCGCCCCCUGGCAUUCCGGGGGGCAUGCCUGUCCGAGCGUCAUUGCUGCCCUUCAAGCCCGGCUUGUGUGUUGGGUCGUCGUCCCCCCCGGGGGACGGGCCCGAAAGGCAGCGGCGGCACCGCGUCCGGUCCUCGAGCGUAUGGGGCUUUGUCACCCGCUCGAUUAGGGCCGGCCGGGCGCCAGCCGGCGUCUCCAACCUUCUAUUUUACCAGGUUGACCUCGGAUCAGGUAGGGAUACCCGCUGAACUUAAGCAUAUCAAUAAGCGGAGGA